CGUGGCGGGGUGCUAUACAUGCAAGUCGAGCGGACAGAAGGGAGCUUGCUCCCGGAUGUUAGCGGCGGACGGGUGAGUAACACGUGGGUAACCUGCCUGUAAGACUGGGAUAACUCCGGGAAACCGGAGCUAAUACCGGAUAGUUCCUUGAACCGCAUGGUUCAAGGAUGAAAGACGGUUUCGGCUGUCACUUACAGAUGGACCCGCGGCGCAUUAGCUAGUUGGUGAGGUAACGGCUCACCAAGGCGACGAUGCGUAGCCGACCUGAGAGGGUGAUCGGCCACACUGGGACUGAGACACGGCCCAGACUCCUACGGGAGGCAGCAGUAGGGAAUCUUCCGCAAUGGACGAAAGUCUGACGGAGCAACGCCGCGUGAGUGAUGAAGGUUUUCGGAUCGUAAAGCUCUGUUGUUAGGGAAGAACAAGUGCAAGAGUAACUGCUUGCACCUUGACGGUACCUAACCAGAAAGCCACGGCUAACUACGUGCCAGCAGCCGCGGUAAUACGUAGGUGGCAAGCGUUGUCCGGAAUUAUUGGGCGUAAAGGGCUCGCAGGCGGUUUCUUAAGUCUGAUGUGAAAGCCCCCGGCUCAACCGGGGAGGGUCAUUGGAAACUGGGAAACUUGAGUGCAGAAGAGGAGAGUGGAAUUCCACGUGUAGCGGUGAAAUGCGUAGAGAUGUGGAGGAACACCAGUGGCGAAGGCGACUCUCUGGUCUGUAACUGACGCUGAGGAGCGAAAGCGUGGGGAGCGAACAGGAUUAGAUACCCUGGUAGUCCACGCCGUAAACGAUGAGUGCUAAGUGUUAGGGGGUUUCCGCCCCUUAGUGCUGCAGCUAACGCAUUAAGCACUCCGCCUGGGGAGUACGGUCGCAAGACUGAAACUCAAAGGAAUUGACGGGGGCCCGCACAAGCGGUGGAGCAUGUGGUUUAAUUCGAAGCAACGCGAAGAACCUUACCAGGUCUUGACAUCCUCUGACAACCCUAGAGAUAGGGCUUUCCCUUCGGGGACAGAGUGACAGGUGGUGCAUGGUUGUCGUCAGCUCGUGUCGUGAGAUGUUGGGUUAAGUC
rnacentral:rRNA from 1 species